AGAUUGCUGACAUCUAGCAGAGAAAACACUAACGACUCAGCUGUCAGUAGCGCUCAACUGUUUCUUCUUCUCUGUGUGCAGACACCGGGGUUAUGUGAUCAAAACCAGGGAACAGGUAAAAGACUUUGGCAACAGAUAUUGCUGUACAUCAAAGAUGCUUUUGAAGGAAUCAAGCUGUGGAAGUUCUGAAUCUUCAUCUCAUAGUUAAUUUGAUAAUAAGUGGAUACUUAAUGCUUCAACAUGUACUGCUCUGUAUGAACUGUGCAAGAGACAUCUGUGUUUGUGCACCAACGUUUUCAGUCCCCUCUCAGGUAAGAUCCUCACUGGAUUUAAUUUAUUUCACAGAGUUAGAUUAAUAUUUUCAGCUGUGAAUUUGACUUUACAGCUGUACAAUAUACUCAAAUUCAGUAAAUACAUCCCUCUCACUGCCAUCGAAGCUAAUGGCAAAACUGUGACUUGUUUCCAAAGGAACUGGCCAGUAAUUUUACAUUAUGUAUCAUGAUUGGUCUGAUGUUAGGUACUGUAUUCUGAGAAAAAUCCACUAUUUAUUUACCCUAGAGUUAAUGUUCCAGUAUUUCAUAACCUUUCAUUAAACUCCAUGCAUCUUUCUCAUCUUUUGCCUUCUUUUAAUCACAUCUAAAUUGGUACUGUGCAGUGUUUGUCUUGCUACCUGCUACUUGCUCAACAGAAAUUAAUUUCACUCAAUGGAAAUUAAGUGAUUGCUUUCCUUUGUGAUUUGUAAGUUCUUCCAGGCAUAAUUUUCCUUUCUGCCAACCACCCAUAUUCAUUUGUUAACAUAGCUCCUUUUGUAAAAUGAAUAUUGAUUUAGAAAUUCCCAAUUAGAAAAUGUAUGCCCUGCUUUUUUUUAUCUUGAAUAUGAUUGUGGAGUGACUAAUGUGCUGAAACUAUAAAGUCAGGCCAUAUAAUUUAUUAAUCUGUAAUGACACAACUCAUCUAGAUCAGGAGAGAGGUAGACAAUAUUCCUGUUGACUCAGACCUCCGACUGCUGGCAAACAGAAGUAUCCCAUGGAUUGCUUUCUGUUAAAGCAUCACAUUUAGCAAUGUGGUUCAGCAUCUUGCCUCUCCAUAUCUAAUGUGGGAUUAUUUUGCCAGAGGCCCAGCAAAUCCUGUUCUUUCCUUGAAUAGGUACUCUACUGAUGGCUUGCAGUUUAGCAGAAAAAUCUUGGAGGGGCAUUUAUUACCACCCUAUGAAUACAUGACUGCAGUGUGCUGUCAGGCAGGAUGGAAUGAAAGGAAAUUGGUUUAAACCAUCUAAAAGGAAUAUUAAUAGGUCAUUAAUCUGUACCCUAGGGUACCUCCUCAUUUAACAUAUUAGAAAGGGUUUUUUACCUUUUAAACAGUCAAUUUUUUAAUGUAUUUUUUUGUAUAAACAAAUUCUGAAGAAGGCAGAAUAAAGAGAAUAGUUAUAAUUUGAUUGGCCUGGAUUGACAAGAUGGAAUGGGACAGAGGGAAGGGAUAAACUGUUAAAUAUGGGGAAAAUCAGCAUGUUCAAUGCAUAUAAGAAAAAAAAAAUAAAUAUUAGGAAAUUAUGUUGCAAAAAAGUUAUAAAGGCAACUUUUCAUGAGAAGUUGGGAGGCAAUAUUGUUGAAGAAAGUCAAUCAUACAUUAGAUAUCCACUUACAGUGUUUGAUGAGAAAUAUUGAUAUUGAAGUCAAUUCUGAUAGAAUAUGUGAGUCUUGAAGUUGUUUCCAGGUUUAUUAUAAAAUUGCAAUACUUUGUUAGUAGUAUAAUACAGAGAUCUAGGGUGAGUACAGAAAGUCACAGACUAUUAAAACAGAUUAAAAAAUUGCAUUAAUAAAGUCCUGUAAUUGAGUAAUCUUUUUUUAAUCUCCACUAAUGAAACUUGGUCCAUGAUACCAACUGUGUAAAAGGCUGAGGACAGAGAAGAAAGUGAAAAGGAAGAACUAUAAUUGUCAUCCUCUCAAUUGCAGAUAUUGCUUAACAUUUUCACAAAGGAGCAGAUACAAAUCAGUAACCAGGAGCAAGUAGGAAAGGUUGAUGUGACCCUUCAACAGAACUGAUGGAACAGUGGCAAGUCAUGCUUAGAUACCCAGACAAAUAACAAAAGCCUGAACUUCUUUUUUCUUUUCAUUAAUUUAGCUUGCUCUACACUAGAUCAAAAUACUUCCUGGAAGGACACCAGCCUGUGGACUUUUACAGAUAAUUUCAUUGAUGUUUCAAAGAAUUGUUGCAAUAAAACACAAACUUUAUCUGCAGUCAGCCUACUUGCAUUAUAUUUGCCUCAUGAAGUAGUUCUACAAGUGACAGAAAGUGCUCACACUGGCUGUGAUUUAUUGCCAAAAUUGUUCUGAGGAACCCAGCUGGCAGACCGGGUUUCUUUCAAGAACAAAACAGAAAGGUUCAUGUAAGAAAGAAUCAUGUAGGCACAGGAAGAAUCUCUGUGAAGUUGCCUGCAGUGGUUGUGAAGUAUGCCCAGCUUCCCGCCCCAGAGACUGCGUCCGGGUGAGGCUCAGACCACAUCAUCCCCCUAGGAGAUUGCUGCUUUGCCUGAAAAUAGGUUGUAAGACUUUCAAGAAUGUGUUCAAAUAUACUGGAACCUGCCUUGCUGGUUACAUUUUUCAGUUAAUAAAGAACACUCAAGGCUCAUCUUAAAAACAUA